rnacentral:lncRNA from 1 species
GGGCGCGCGCCGGGCGGGAGCGGCGGCGCUGCGUGUGAGGAGACCGAGUUUGUGUCCUGAGGGGACGGACCCUCAAUAUUCCUGCCCAUUGCUGGAUGUUCCUGUGAGAACAAGAUGCCAUCUUGUGGUUGGAUUUUCUUCUCCCAAACCCGAGCUUGCUUUUCCGAGAAACUAGUUCAACUGUCCUGACAGCUUGAGAAAGCAAAAUAAUUAAACCUGCAUUUUUGGAUUUAAUUAUGAACUCAAGUGCUCAACUAAGACCUACAGACUUUUACAAUAAAACCUGGACAGUUUCAAGCUGGCAUGCCCAAGGAAAACAGCUUGCUCUGAAUGCACAUUAAGGGUUGGCCAGUGUAUGUGUAAAGCAGAGGUGCUACAGCACCAUUUCAUAGCCAACGAGCAUCAGGACCAGAGAAGAAAGCAGAGGACAUGAUGGCAGUUCCAUUUCUCUUGGGUGCAUCCUCAUCCAUGUCAGCCAAGGCACAGCCACCGGCGCUCUGGGCUUUGCUCAGACAUGCCACAUGAAAAGCCCUCACCAAGCCCUUUCCCAGCUCACUGCUUUUCGUGAGAAGCAGCCUUUUCCCUCAGCUGACACAGAUACGUGGACAUAUCUCCAACAGGGUGGGUGCAAAGUCUCUCCAAAGACAGACCUGCCUUGCGGCAGGUGUCCCCAGGCCAUGCCUGGAGUUCUUCUCAUGCUGUGACAUCUUCAGUCCUUCCUUGGCUGGUCAUGCAGAGCUGUGAGUGCAGGCCUUGGUCCCUGGUGGUCUCUAACAGGUUAAGCCCCUGUCCUGGUUCAGGGAAAAUUUGGGAGAGAACCCCAAAAUGGGUUCUUCUACAAAGCAGAGUCGGUCAGCCUCUCCCCUAGC